UGGGGAAUAUUGCACAAUGGGCGCAAGCCUGAUGCAGCCAUGCCGCGUGUGUGAAGAAGGCCUUCGGGUUGUAAAGCACUUUCAGCGGGGAGGAAGGCGUUAAGGUUAAUAACCUUGGCGAUUGACGUUACCCGCAGAAGAAGCACCGGCUAACUCCGUGCCAGCAGCCGCGGUAAUACGGAGGGUGCAAGCGUUAAUCGGAAUUACUGGGCGUAAAGCGCACGCAGGCGGUUGAUUGAGUCAGAUGUGAAAUCCCCGGGCUUAACCCGGGAACUGCAUCUGAUACUGGCAAGCUUGAGUCUCGUAGAGGGGGGUAGAAUUCCAGGUGUAGCGGUGAAAUGCGUAGAGAUCUGGAGGAAUACCGGUGGCGAAGGCGGCCCCCUGGACGAAGACUGACGCUCAGGUGCGAAAGCGUGGGGAGCAAACAGG
rnacentral:rRNA from 1 species